GGGGUGUAAGAAAGACGAAAAUAGAAAUAACAGUGAGAGAGAGGUAUUCUGCUCUGCCACUAUACUUCUCUUUUCAUUUAUUAUUUCUAGCAUUAAAAUGUAAAGACACCAGAUAUUACUUAGAACAGGUCAUCACUGACAUAUUCUGGUGCCAUAUAAUCACCGCAAAACAAAUGGAAACUUUAUUAGUAUAUGUAUUAGUUUAGAGACCCUGAAA
rnacentral:misc_RNA from 1 species